AUGUUUUUAUAUAUGCCCAUUGCUUUACACCACUUUCAUCAUCUUUUAACGCUUUACAUUUUUUUCUGUUUUUUAUUUACAAUGCUUUUAAAAAAGAGUAGAUGCUUUUUUGUGUUUUUUAAACGCUGUAGAAAUUUUUGUGAUGACGCAAACUUUAUAAAUAAUAGUUACUUGAAUUAUGUACGUGGGAAUCAUAAAAUAGAUCAAACAGCAAAUUCUAAAAAUGUAAAUUAUGAAGGAAAAGGAAAUAAAAAUGACAUCAACAUAAUUAAAAAUUUUGAAAACACAGAAGGAAUGUCGAUGCAAAAUAAUGCUAGUACAUAUAAAAAAAACGAAACAUAUAAUAAUACAUGUAAUAAAAGUUUUGAACAUAAACCGAAUGUGAAUGAAACUGAAAAAAAACAAGAUGAUUAUAAACAUGGUACUACUACUACUACUACUACCACUACUACUGGUACUGAUAUUAAUAACAAUAAGGAUAAUAUUAAUAAAAGUAAUAACAUAAAUAAGAAUAAUAUGAAAGGCUCAUUUUACCAAAAAAAUACGAAUUUUUCUAAAAAUAAUAAUUAUAUGAAUAACAGAACAGGUCAAAAUGACUCAUAUAAAAAUCACAAAGAUAAUGAUACUUUUAACAUUGAAAACAGUAAUACAAACAAAAAAGUUAAUAAAAACGAGUAUAAAAAUGAACACCCGGAAUUUUUUGAGGAAGGUAUUGAUAGUUAUGACGAUAUUAAUGUCCGUUUAAAUAGUAAAAUUGAUAACAGCUAUUCUAGUAAUACAGAAGAGUAUGUACAUAACUUAGAUAACAAAACAUAUAGUGACGGUAAAAUGAGUAAUAUCAACACCAGCAUCAAUAAUGACACCUACGAUACUGGGAGUAAAAACUGUUCGAAUAAAACGAACUCAAGCGAUAAUAGUAAUUUUGAUAACUUAAAUAAUAACAGCAACAACAUCAACAACAUCAACAACAGCAACAACAGCAACAACAGCAACAACAGCAACAACAGCANNNNNNNNNNCAACAACAGCAACAACAGCAACAACAGCAACAACAGCAACAACAGCAACAACAACAACAACAGCAACAACAGCAACAGUAAUCGUGACUUUUUAAAUAAUAAUGAUAAUACGACAGGUACAGAAAACCCAAAAGAUAACACCGAGCAGUGGUUGGAAAAUGAUGAGGACAUACCUAACAUCUUUGAAGUUGAUGAAAAUUUAAGUGAAGAAGAAAAAGCAGAAAAAUUAAAAUUAAUAAAAUUAAUAACUGAAAAAUUAGCCGGGCCUUUAAAAUUAAACGAUGCAGAAGAAAAAAAAACAGAUGGAAAUAUAAAUAGUGAAGACGAUAAACAAAAGACAGAAGAUUCGAUUUUUGCUGACAAUAGACCUAUAGCAAUAGAAGUUGAUGGUCCUUCUCAUUUUUAUGCAAACAGUUAUAAUGUUAUUCAUAUAAGCUACUUCGACUGGAGAAAGCUAAGAAACAAAAGUGAAAGAGAAGAAUUUAUUCUAAAAAAAUUAAAAGAAAAAAAUGACGAGUUUUUAGAUGAGGAUGAUAGAGUAUAUUAUAAUGAAAGAAUGAACAUGAUUAAGGAAGAUUAUAUGAAAUACAUGAAAGAGAAAAAGGAAAAUAAUAACUAAAAAGGGUAAACCGUAUACUUUGAUCUAUACCUAUAUUUAUACUUUAAUUUUAUUUAUUUAUUUAUUUAUUUAUUUUUUUUUUUAAGUAUAUUGAAAGUGUUUUUUUGGUGAAAAUAAAGUAUACUAAAAAAAAAUAAAAUAAAAUAAA
ensembl:lncRNA